GGUAGUCCACGCCGUAAACGAUGAGUACUGGGUGUCGCGGGUAGUUGACCCCUGCGGUGCCGUAGCUAACGCGUUAAGUACUCCGCCUGGGGAUUACGGUCGCAAGAUUAAAACUCAAAGGAAUUGACGGGGGCCCGCACAAGCAGCGGAGCGUGUGGUUUAAUUCGAUGCAACGCGAAGAACCUUACCCGGGCUUGACAUGCACGUGGUACUGACCCGAAAGGGAAGGGACCCGCAAGGGAGCGUGCACAGGUGCUGCACGGCUGUCGUCAGCUCGUGCCGUGAGGUGUUGGGUUAAG
rnacentral:rRNA from 1 species